rnacentral:rRNA from 1 species
CGUAACACGUGAAGAAUUUGUCUAUCGGCGGGGGAUAGCCGGCCCAACGGCCGGGUAAUACCGCGUACGACCUUGGAGGGGCAUCCCUUAGAGGUGAAAGCCGCAAGGCGCCGAUUGAGAACUUCGCGGCCUAUCAGCUAGUUGGUGAGGUCAUGGCUCACCAAGGCGACGACGGGUAGCUGGUCCGAGAGGAUGACCAGCCACAUUGGGACUGAGACACGGCCCAG